rnacentral:lncRNA from 1 species
UUUUAUUUUUCUGAGACAGGGUUUCUCUGUAUAGCCGUGGCUGUCCUAGAACUUACUCUGUAGAACAGGCUAGCCUUGAAUUCAGAAAUCCACCUACCUCUGCCUCCCAAGUCUGGGAUUAAAGGUGUGUGCCACCACUGCCCAGCGACUUUUUUUAAGACAUGAUCUCACAAGGAUUAACUUGUUGCUCUUGAAGAGGUUUAAUUACUAGCACGAAUCUGGUAGUUCACCAUAGUCUGCAACUCCAGAUCCAGGGUAUAAAUGGAUAUUUAUUCAUAUAAAUACACACACACACACAUACAUAUUUCCCUUUCCCUUUCCCUUUCCCUUUCCCUUUCCCUUUCCCUUUCCCUUUCCCUUCCCCUUUCCCCUUUCCCCUUCCACUCCUUCCCCUUCCCCUUCCCCUUCCCCUUCUUCCCCUUCUUCCCCUUUCCCUUCCCCUUCCCCUUCUUCUCCUUCUUUUUUUUUUUUUUGGGGACAUGAUCUUACUGUAUAGCCCAGGUUGUCCUAUAAUUCUCUUUGUAGAUUGAGCUGGUCUUAAACUCACAGAGAUCUACAUGCCUCUGCCUCUCAAGUGCUGUGAUUUAAAGUCAUGUACCUCUAUGCCAGGCCUGUGUAUGAUAUCUUUAGAUAAAAAUUUUAAAUUUGAAUAUAUUUUCUAAAUGUCUCAUGUUUUUUGGAGGGAAGUUUGAGACUCUGUAGCACAGGCUGACCUGGAAUUGAUUGGUUAGCACUGACUGUCUUUAGACACUUAGCAGACCUCUGCCUUAGCCUUUAAGUGCUAGGCCACCACACACAGCAAAUCUCUCAAUUUUUGUUUUUAUUGUGUGUGUUUUGGAUGGAAGGUUUUUUUUUUAAAGAUCAUAAAUGUGCAUUUCUUAAUGAUUCUGUAAGUAUGCUGUUUUAUAUUUUCACCUGCAUAUAUGUUUGUGUACUAUUUACAUGCUUGAUGCUCAUGAAGGCUAAAAUUGGGCAUUAGAUACUCCAGACCUGGAGUUACAAAUGUUUUUAACCACUGCAUGUGUGCUGGGAAUAGAACCUGUAUUCCUAGGUUUUUACUUUAUUUUUAUUUUUUUCCCCAUCCCACCCUAUGAUUUUAUUUUUAAUCUACUUGAUGUCUUUGUUUAUGAGGUCAGGGUAGGGUUGAGAUUGGAAGGAAAGAGGGAAUCUGGGGUUUUGUUCUUAUUUAUAACAGUAUUAUAUUUGUAUGCACUUACAUAUAUAUACAUGUAGUUCUUUUUCUGACACCAUUUAUUGAGUUUGCUUUCCAUCUGCAAAGGUGUCAGAUGCCCUGGAGUUUGUGUCGGAGUUGAGUUGCCCAAUGUGGGCACUGGGAACUGAACUCAUGACCUUUGCAAAAGUAGCAAGUGUCCUUUCUGCUGAGCCAUCACACCAACUUUUAAAUUUUUAAAUUUUAAUUUUUUUAAAGAUUUUAAUUUUUUUUAAGUGUGCAGGUAUCUAUUAGAAUAGUCAUUUAACACUCUUUUAUAUAUUUAUAUAAAAUAUAUUUUAAACAGGAAAGUAUAAUUUAGUAAUAGGUAGCUUAUUUGGAAAACAUCUAAGGAAAUUUAGGAAUUAAAAAUACUUCUGGGCCAGAGAGAUGGCUCAGUGGUUAAGAGCACUGACUGCUCUUCCAGAGGUCCUGAGUUCAAUUCCCAGCACCCACAUGGUGGCUCACAACCAUCUGUAGUGGGGUCUGAUGCACUUUUCUGGUGUGUGUCUGAAGACAGCUACAGCGUACUCAUUUAAAUAAAAAUAAAUAAUACAAAGUAAUUCUAAGAAAGUUGUGUGAUAUUAUUGCUAAGAUGGUUACCAGGAAGUGAGGUAUUCCUGUCUUAUAUGUAACAAGCAUGGCAGAGUAUACUCAAAUAUAUACCAAUUAUAGAUUUUCCCCCUUUCAUUCUUAAAGGACUGUCUUAAAUCUUGCUAUCAUUCAAGACAACGUUCAUCAUUCUCUUCCCAGAUGCCUGUUCUGUGUAUAAACUUAAGAUACUUAGUCUCUUCCAUGUCACUUCACAUUUUUUCCUCCAUAUAUGAACUUAGUACUCACUAACAAGUCAUUUCCAUUGCUCUUUUUCUUCAAUGUGAAUCUUAUUUGUUUUUUUUUCCCCCUUAAUUUAUAACUAACUUCUGUAGUGGGUAUAGCUAUAGCUAUUGGUUACGUGAUUGUUUUUUUUUUGUUUGUUUGUUUGUUUUGUUUUUAUCUGUCCCCCUAAAGACAUUUUUUUUUUGUAUUUUAUUCAAAUAAAAUACAUAUAAUGACUCUCCUUUUUUCCUGCCACACACUAGGAGACAGCAUGAACUACAUAACAGACAUCGCUGCACUGAGCGGGCUGCUUCAGAGUGUUUAAAGAAGACUAAAUAUACACAAAACCCUUGCUUAACCAAAUUCUAGCAUUUAGUCUAGUGACAUUUUCCAGGGAUGUUGUCACAUUUAUCUUUUUAUGGCUUAGAACUUACUAUCCUGAUAUGUAUACAAAGUGUAAUACUGAAAUAAAAUUAAAACCCAUU